rnacentral:rRNA from 1 species
GCUGGCGGCGUGCUUAACACAUGCAAGUCGAACGGUGAACCAGAGCUUGCUCUGGGGAUCAGUGGCAACGGGUGAGUAACACGUGGGCAACCUGCCCCAGACUCUGGGAUAAACUCCGGGAAACCCGGAGCUAAUACCGGAUAUGACUACUUCGGACAUCCCGACGGUAGUGGAAAGUUUUUCGGUCUGGGGAUGGGCCCGCGGCCUAUCAGCUAGUUGGUGGGGUAAUGGCCUACCAAGGCGACGACGGGUAGCCGGCCUGAGAGGGCGACCGGCCACACUGGAACUGAGACACGGUCCAGACUCCUACGGAAGGCAGCAGUGGGAAUAUUGCACAAUGGGCGAAAGCCUGAUGCAGCGACGCCGCGUGAGGGACGACGGCCUUCGGGUUGUAAACCUCUUUCAGCAGGGACGAAGCGAAAGUGACUGUACCUGCAGAAGAAGCACCGGCUAACUACGUG